AUUGAACGCUGGCGGCAGGCCUAACACAUGCAAGUCGAACGAGUGGCGGACGGGUGAGUAAUGUCUGGGAAACUGCCUGAUGGAGGGGGAUAACUACUGGAAACGGUAGCUAAUACCGCAUACCAUCAGAUGUGCCAAGAUGGGAUUGGCUAGGUGGGGGGGUAACGGCUCACAAAGGCGACGAUCCCUAGCUGGUCUGGGAGGAUGACCAGCUACACUGGAACUGCGACACUGGCCAUACUCCUACGGGAGGCAGCAGUGUGGAAUAUUGCACAAUGGGCGCAAGCCUGAUGCAUCCAUGCCGCGUGUAUGAAGAAGGCCUUCGGGUUGUAAAGUACUUUCAGCGGGGAGGCGUUACCCGCAGAAGAAGCACCGGCUAACUCCGUGCCAGCAGCCGCGGUAAUUC
rnacentral:rRNA from 1 species